CCUACGGGAGGCAGCAGUGAGGAAUAUUGGUCAAUGGACGCAAGUCUGAACCAGCCAUGCCGCGUUCAGGAAGACGGCUCUAUGAGUUGUAAACUGCUUUUGUACGAGGGUAAACGCAGAUACGCGUAUCUGUCUGAAAGUUUCGUACGAAUAAGGAUCGGCCAACUCCGUGCCAGCAGCCGCGGUAAUACGGAGGAUUCAAGCGUUAUACGGAGUGAUUGGGUUUAAAGGGUGCGUAGGCGGUCGGAUAAGUUAGAGGUGAAAUCCCGAGGCUCAACUUCGGAAUUGCCUCUGAUACUGUUCGGCUAGAGAGUAGUUGCGGUAGGCGGAAUGUAUGGUGUAGCGGUGAAAUGCUUAGAGAUCAUACAGAACACCGAUUGCGAAGGCAGCUUACCAAGCUACUUCUGACGUUGAGGCACGAAAGCGUGGGGAGCAAACAGGAUUAGAUACCCGUGUAGUC
rnacentral:rRNA from 1 species